UACGGGGGGGGCAAGCGUUGUUCGGAAUUACUGGGCGUAAAGGGCUCGUAGGCGGCCAACUAAGUCGGACGUGAAAUCCCUCGGCUUAACCGGGGAACUGCGUCUGAUACUGGAUGGCUUGAGAUUGGGAGAGGGAUGCGGAAUUCCAGGUGUAGCGGUGAAAUGCGUAGAUAUCUGGAGGAACAUCAGUGGCGAAGGCGACACCCUGGACUCAUACUGACACUGAGGUGCGAAAGCGUGGGGAGCAAACAGG
rnacentral:rRNA from 1 species